CUUACUUCAUGAGGGCUGGUGGGUGGGUUGAGAAGUGGGUCAGAAGUGGAUGUUUGUGGGUGCAAGUGAUUUACGUUUCUCUGAUGACUGCUGAUGUGCAGCAUCUUUCCACAUGUGUACUGGCCGUCCUGAUGUCUUAUUUGGAGGAAUGUCUACUUAAGUCCUUUUUCCAGUUUUGAACUGUAUUGUUGGCUUUUUUGUUGUUGAAUUGUAGGAGUUCCUUAUAUACUGUUGAAGGCUUAUUAUGUUUUAAAGAUUUUAUUUAUUUAUUUUAGAGACAGAGAGAAACAGAGAGAGAGAGAGCACGAGUGAACGGGGGAGGGGCAGAGGGAGAGGGGCAAGCAGACUGCGCUGAGCACAGAGCCCAACGUGGGGCUCGAUCUCACAACCCUGAGAUCAUGACCUGAGCUGAGAUCGAGAGUUGGAUGCUUAACUGACGGAGCCAGCCAGGCACCCCAAAGGCUUAUUUUUAUGGUCCAGUAAUUCUAGUUUUGGGCAUUGUAUGACCAUAUACCAGUAUUUCUGGCCACAGCCACUGGCAAGGGUAAAGCAUGUCCUCAUUUGGUGACUUGGCCAGUGUUUCUAGACUCAUUAACUUGAGAUCAUCUUUUAAAAUGACAGAAAUUUUAUUUUUCUUUUUACAACAGGUUGAAAAAAACCAGUGAAAUCUCUGGCUUUCAUGUUUCCAGGGCCAAGUAUUACCGUGGAGUAGAGUAUUAAAGCACAGUGAGAAAUCCCUGGGUGAGCAGAGGUUACUUCUCAAAGUCCGGACCCUGUGUGAUGGCAGAGUAGGGUCAUAAAUGGCAACAUUGUAUUGUGUACUUGAUAAGUCUGAUAAGCAUUUUUUUUUUAAAGAUUUUAUUUAUUUAUUUGAGAGAAAGAGUGAGAGAGAGAGCACAAGAGGGGGGAGCAGGAGAGGGAGAAGCAGACUCCCCGCCAAGCAGGUAGCCCGAUGCGGGACUCGAUCCCGGGACUCCAGGAUCAUGACCUGAGCCGAAGGCAGUCGCUUAACCAACUGAGCCGCCCAGGCGCCCCAAGUCUGAUAAGCAUUUGCUGGAAGCCAGGAGAAACCCACAGUAAGAUCAACUGGUAGUCAUCAAAACCGCAGCUGUUUGCCGAAGGGCAAAGCAGUGUUAGCAAAGGGACUGACAUUUGGACCUGCUCUCAGGGCAGUGGGCUUGCAAAGAAAGCCAGAGCACAGAGGGGACCGAGAAGGCCACUUGCCCUGAAAUUGGUAGGGAAUCAAGUUCUGUGUGGCGUUGAGGGCGAAUCGUGCAGCCUGACGCCCAUGCUGACAUCCCUUCUCAAGAGCUUAUCAAACCUCUCCAGGAUCGAGGCAGAGGAGGAAGCCCUAGAUGCUGAUUCAGAAACCCCCCUGUUGAGCCUCGAUUGGUUCUUGAAGAUUUUGAAACAUUCACUUAUGAAAGGAAUUUUCCAUGAUGACUUUCCUCCCUGUGAUCCACCCUGAGGUUCUUGUAGACCAAACUUUGCAUGACUUUUCUGCAGGUGGCUGCUGGAUGCCAAACAAUAGGAAGGACAUUUAUAAUUAGUCCAAUUAUCUCUAACAUUCUUGUCUGAGUACUGCCCUGGGAUGACCCACAGAGGUUUGUGUAAAGUAUUCUUAUUCUUAUUCUUACUAUUAUUUUAAGUAGGCUGUACACCCAGCAUGCAGCCCAACGUGGGGCUUGAUCCCACGACCCUGAGAUCAAGACCUGAGCUGAGAUCAAGAGUCAGACACUGACUGAUGGAGCCACCCAGGCGCCCAAGGUUUGUGUAAAUUCAAACAGAAACUACAGGCAAGUAUUUUGCCAAGACCUUCCUUGCAGACUCCUCAUCCCGGUUCUGGGAGAAAGCAUGACCAAAGUGGGAAACAAAUGCGCCCAAAGAGGGAGCAGCCAUGAUCUGACAGGGAGAUCCAGACCCUCUAGCACCUGUAUGCAUGCAGUGGAGAUUCAGGCCCAGCAGGGGCAUCGGAGGCCUCUUCCCCCAGCCGCUGGUGGAGGGUGGAGGGGGCUUGCCAAGGAGGACAAAGGGGCUGUGGUUGGUGCCCUCGAAGCAGACUGUGGUGCUGAGCUUUAUAAGACAGAUUCAAAGGGGACCAUUCCUAUAGGGACAGGGGACCCAUUGGACCUGGUCACACAAUGUUGUGUUCUUUUAUUAGCAAAGAUGUAUUGAUGUGUGCCAGGUGGUCUGUUGGGCCCCCCAGCCACGGGAUGAAAAUCUGUGGAGAAGUAAGCCGAGUGUUCUCUUUGGGUCACCUGGCCACAGGCCACAGAAGCGUUAGCCCAGUUUCCCACCAGGUGGCCAGGGUGUCCACUUAACUCCCGGAAUGGUGGCCCAGAAACUCAGACUUCGAUGCCUUAGCCCGGGCCAUUUAAUCUCUGGAUUUUAUAAUCACCAGGAUGAGACACGGGAAGUGCAGACGGUGCCGCCAUGCUGGCUGGAGCCCAGCCUAGGGCAUGGGUACGCAGAGGGCCUGUGGUGGGUUCUGUCUCAGGGUUGAGGAGCUGCUUCCUACCGGUGGGACCUUCUGAGGCGGCCCCUAGGAUGAUGGUGGGUGCGUGAGCCACACCCAGAGUGUGAAGGAACUGUGAGCUGUGGGGACAAGAGAAGCAGGCAGGGGCAGACAGAGGAGGACCGGUGUGCAGGGCUGAGGGUCUGGUGCUACCCCAUUGAGGACAGAGCCUCAGGAGAUAGUUAAUGGUGAGGCUGUGGGAGACUGGAAUUUCCCAAGGUUUUCUAGAGGUGGAGGCAAGACAGGCCUUCCCCGUCUGAGUGGAAAGCCCUGGAGAGGAGAUUGUGGGGCUUGUGUGUUCUGAGGAGAACCCUGCAGGCUGACGCCUAUCUCCGCCAUCCGCAGCCCCUCCCAGGCCAACACGGGUGAGGCUCAGAUUGCUUGCCAACAGUCAUCUGACAGUAUUUAACGUCCUCAUGGCACUGGCUAUUGUGGUUGUGUCCUGGGGUCUGGGGCCCAGUGGAGAAGCCAUGGGGGUGUAGAGGGGAGAGCCUGGGUCUGUGUUUGCCCACCCAAGGGGGUCUUCCUGGUAUGCAUCUGAAGUUCUGUGCUCCCCCGUUGCUCUCUGGACCUGAAGGAUGACUCGAGGACGGCCCUCAGUGUCACCUGGGUGAGCCCUCUGUUCAGAGUGAGUCCGCAUGUGGAUAUUCUGAGCCGGCCAACUGGCUCAUGAAGUUUCUGCAAGAAAGUUCUCUGGAAAAUUUGGCAGUUCUGAGGGUAUGUUUACCCUAUCCACUAAAACCCUUUCCAAAACCAUCAACUCCAGAUUUUGUGAAGGAAUUACAAAAGGUCCUGACCACAGAAUGUUAGCUCAAGAGCGUUUAGCGGUUUGGUCUCACUUGCUGAUUUUCCUAGUGAAGAUACUGAAGCCAGACUGUGGGUAAGUCCGAGGGCAUGGCGCCAUCUGCAAGGAGGUCACCCCCAGCACUGGGUCCCACCACACCAGCUGUCCAUGGGAUUUCCAACUGCCCAGGAUGUAGGCAAAUUUCUGGUUCCAGAGUUCUGCACCAAGAUAUUGACGGCCUUCUUGUUUAUACUAAUGAAAACUUGGGAGAAUCUAAGGGUCCCUCAGUAAGGAGAGAGUGAAGUAAAAGCUGGGGUGAUCCUUCUAAGGGGCAUGAGGCAGGCUCUGAAGUCCACGGAACUCUUCAGGGAUGAGAGUCCCUUUGUUUUUCUGGCUAGAGACAUAUCCUUAGUGCCCAACACAGGGUCUGGCACUUGAGAGAUGCUACUAAGUAUUUAUUCCAGAUUAAUGCUGGGAUAAAGAGUCUGCAUGGAGAAUCUUUUCAGAACCCAAAGCUUGAAGUGGCAAAUGUAAAAGGGACUGAUGUAGCCUGGACCAGAGCCCUGGUGGCAUAGACCCAUUCCCCAAAACCAUCCUGGAAGGAGCCAAGAGAAGUUGGAAGAGGAAAGGGCCUCGGAGUGGAUGUCCCCAUGGGGGAGGUUGUUUCCUCAUCACGCUUGUCUCUUUAGCAUCUGAGCUGCUCCCAGGCCAUACAACUGACCCACGCCCACUUCAGAGCACACGGGGCCCUGUCAGCUGCGGGGGCCUGAUCUCCAGGUGUCCCCAGGGGUUCAGGCUGCUGGAGCAUAUAUUGUGCUUUCAGCUACCGUCAAUGUCUUCUCAGCACCACCCCAACCACAGGCUCACUGGUCAGCAUGACCAGCAGCAUUUUCCUCCCCAUACCUGCUCCGGACUGCCUGGGCAUCUUCUGUGAUGUAUUUCCCUCCCUAUGGUAGGCUUUCUUGAUGGCAACUCAAUUUCAUUAAGAUGCUAAUGUUGGAAGUAGAAGGCGUGAGCACAGGGCUCAGUCCCAGAGGGAAGACAGGUUUGUUAGGAAAGUGUAAAGUGCUGGCCCCACUGGGAGCUGUUCCUGAGGUGCAGGGCAGAAAGCAGCUCUGGCCAGAUACAGAAAGGUUCUUGGUUCCCCAUAAGCUGGCGUCACUCUCAGGAUUGUCCCACCCUAUCCUAUUAAGACAGAGCUCAGAUUGCAUAUGUCCUCUGAGUGAAGCCUGGGUUUUAAUCACUCAGGGAAUGUGUCCACACAAAUGCCCAUGCAGCUGAAACUUUAAUGUGCUUCUUUAAUUAAAAAUUAAUGUCACAAGCUUAAUUAAGUGUUCAUAAUGAAUACGCAAUUAGAAAAUCUCUUGAGGCAUUUGGGGACCCCUUGCCCCACAUUUCAUGCUCUGGUACUUUCUGGUACAUACUCUGAGAGAUGUAAAGCAAGUUACUCAGAGUUUAGGGCUAACUAACAUUUUUCUGUGGAGCAUUCAACUGCUCCAGUCAUUUCAGAAAUGACAUCUUGCUGUUUAGUAAACAAAUAUUUAUUGAGUUUUCUCAAGAAGAAAUAUAAUUAUACUUGAAUUAUGGUCUUUGUUAAGUGGUUUAACUAGGCUUAAGCUCAGUAGAUGACAGUUCAAAACUGAGUGCUAGUAAUAUUCUAAGGAAUUAUUUGGAUUGUGAUUUGGGAAAGAGACUUUACCUUUGGUUCAAAAGGCAGCUUAGAAAUGUACAUGUUGGUUUUUGUAGAAGGGAGGAAGAAGAGGAUUAUUCUAUCCAUCCAUCAUCCACCCACCAAUCAUCCAUCAUCCACCCCUCCAUCUAUCCACCCAUCAUCCAUCUAUCUAUCAUCCAUCUAUCAUCCAUCAUUAUCAUCUAUCUAUCUAUUAUCUAUCUAUCUAUCUAUCUAUCUAUCUAUCUAUCUAUCUAUCUAUCAUCUAUCAUCCAUCCAUUAUCCAUCCAUCAUCAUCUAUCCAUCAUCCACCCAUCCAUCCAUCUAUCCAUCCAUCCAUCAUCCAUCAUCCAUCCAUCAUCCAUCUAUCUAUCAUCCAUCCAUUAUCCACCCAUCCAUCUAUCCAUUCAUCCAUCAUCCAACUAUCAUCCAACUAUCAUCCAUCUAUCAUCCAUCCAUCAUCCAUCCAUCUAUCCAUCAUCUAUCUCUUCAUCCCAUCCCCUUCCCCUUUUUCUCACCUAAACUCCAUACUUAAAUUUUCUAUUGUUUGAAUCCAUUAUCUUCUUUGGUAAUGGAUUCUCGCUCUAAAAUUCCUGGUCUCAAUGAAUGACACCACUAUCCACCCAGCUGUCCAAAGUCAAGACUUUUUUUUUAAAGAUUUCUUAUUUAUUUAUCUGAGAGAGAGAAUGGGAGACAGAGAGCAUGAGAGGGGGAGGAUCAGAGGGAGAAGCAGACUCCCCGCUGAGCAGGGAGCCCAAUGCGGGACUCGAUCCCGGGACUCCAGGAUCAUGACCUGAGCCGAAGGCAGUUGCUUAACCAACUGAGCCACCCAGGCGCCCCAAAGUCAAGAUUAAGAAAUCAUUUUGGACUACUUCUGCUUAACAUUCACAAGUCCUGUUGAUUCUACCUUUCACACUCUUUUGAAUCUGUCUCCUCAUCUCCACCAACCCAGUUGGGGCCCUUCUCAUUUGUCCUACAGAUUCCCAAAGGAACAUUAGAUUAUGUUACUUUCCUUGCUUAAAAUCUCCAGUGGUUUUCAGCAUAAAAUCCAGACUGCUUGGCUUGUAAAGCAAGUGGCCUCAUGAAUGAAUCCUAUGUAUAUUUAUAGCUUCCUUCUUCACCAUCUGCCACGUGCCUCCUAUGAUCCAUUCAUUCAACAUUCAACAGUAUUUUUCGAACCGCUGCUAAUAGUGAAGUACUCUACAAUGAACAGGAGUGAAUAAGACAAUCGCUGCCCUUGAAGAUGUUGUGGUUUAGAGGUUGAACCAUUUGUGGAUCCCUUGAGGUCUUCUACUGCACCAUCAGCCUGGAAGUGCUCCUGGGACCCCUCUUCCACCUCCUUCAUCUGGAAAGCCCCUUCUUGUGUUUCCAGUUGUCUCAAGUCUCAAGUUGUUGCCUCUGGAAUCUUCCCUCUCACACCUGCGGUUCCUCUGGUCUCCUACAACCACAUGCACAUUCAUGUUCCACAGUAUGUACAUGUAAUUUCUACACCCAGUGUGGAGCUCAAACUCACAGCCCUGAGAUCAAGAGUCGCAUGCUCCCCCUAAUGAGCCAGCCAGAGACCUCUAAACCAGCUAAUUUUAUGAAAGCCACUUGAGGAUAUAAGCAAAGAACACAAGGUAGAAAAUCCAGAGGAAAGAAGACAUGAAAUAUCCGGCCUGGAGACAGGCCUGAUGGCACACCCGGAUCCUGGGACUCCGAGGGGUGGGCAGGGGCGCCCUGGGGAGGAGAUCGGGGGAGGAGAAAAAGCUCCCCGGAUUUAUUGGACUGCUCAACAUAGUGGAGCUUGCAGAGAGAACUAUGAAUACACAGGCCUGGACAGAGCGAGAGAAAGAAAGGCGAUGUCGAAGCCCCCAGCCACGGAGACUAACCCUAACGCUACUCAGCUCUGUGACGACUCUGAUCAUGUUCAUUAAAGUCACGAUUUAACGUCAGUGGGAGGUGUACCAAAGCCCAAUCUUCUCACCCAAACAGAAAGUCAGUAUCCACUAUCGGUCAGUCAAGAAGUCCUGUUUGAAGACCAUCAUCCAGAAACGUGGUAGCUCCUAGGAUCCCGGGCGAGGCUUGCCAGUGUCCGCUCCAGGGACCAGCAGAGAAGGGUCUUUUGUUGUGUGUGGUUCACAGCACUAUUUGAUAUUUUUGAUCAUGUGUGUUUCGUAUUGGUCGCCAUAACUUGGAUGCUAUGGUCCGUUGGUACUUUGUCUUCGGUUCUGCAAGCCUGGCAGCAGCGUCCGCUCACAGUCCGUGGCACCUAACUGAAGCCCGCGGUUCCCAGGUGCCGUGGCUGGCCUUUUCCCAACCCUGUGUCCCUGCAGUGGGGAAACCGCAGCUGGCUCUGGGAGCCUGUGGCCUGGGCGCCUUGGACAGGCACCCCUGAGCUCCUGCGUCUCCCGGGAGGACCGUCACAGGGCCUCCACCGGAAAGCAGAGCCCUUUGACCCCAGCACCUGCUUCUCCAGUGAAGCUGCACUUGAACCCCAUGCCGACUCAGGCCGCCGCACUCUUGCUGUCUGCUACAUCCAUUGUCUUGCUCACAGGGAGAUGGCCAAGCGCGCCGCCUCGUUCAGCUCCCGGCUGUGUCACUUGCUGACUGGACACUCUUGGGCGAGUUGCCUGCCCUCCCUGACUUUGGUUUCUUUGCUGUAAAAUGGGGUAAUAACAGCACCUACAGACAGGCUACGGGAUGAUGAGUGUCUUUCCUGGUACAUAGAUGCCCUCGGUACUUCCUCAUCCAAGAAUAUGAGAACAUGUCUCUGUUCUGAAUCUCCCCCGUCCUGGAAUAUUCCACCAGACACCCAGGUUAUGGCUCUUGGAGGACAGUCUGCUGAUGGAGAGAUGGAGCAAAAGCAGAACUCCAGGCCAUGGGAGAAGGGGGAGACCAAGCCCCAGGGAAGGCCCAUAACCUGCGAGUUGGUGUAGCUCAUGCUCACUCUGGCCAACAGAGGGGAGUUUUUCUCCUGAAAAUUAAUUUCCUCUCAUCUCCUGAAUGGUUUGUAUCUGUACCUUGAAUGAAGGUUUGAAAUGUCUUUGGAAUAACUGAGGCAGGCACAGCUAGGAAUGUCUGUCUGGCAAUGUUUUCACUGCUGGUUUCCAGCGUACGCACUGUCUCCGGUAGGAAGCUGGGAGAGGGCGCUUGCAAUGUCUCCAUUAUUCGCCCCCCAGUGAGGCUCUGAAGCCCCUCCCAGCAAGGGCAGAGACCAACCCUCGCCUCUGAAUCCUAGCUGGUUUUGGCAAUAGGAUGUGGAGCGCGUGGAACCCUCAGACGUGCCAGUCCUCGGCCAACCCAGCAGGUGCCCACGGUGCGUGAGCAAGCCGGACUGAAGCCACAGGAAUGCCAGGGGAGUCAGCCCACGCUGCCAGUGCGCAGAAACGCACCCUAUGGACUCCAUUAUGUAAGCCACUGGGUUGAGGGUGGUGUGUUACCAGUAGUAGAUAACUGGUAGACCCCAAGAGCCCUUUAUGAGGCACAACGUUCAUGGUGGGAACUUGGUACCUGAGUUUGGGGCCAUGAUCCAGCUGUGUACAUAAAACAGAAGAGCUUUGGACCCUGCUCAUGCUGCAUUUUAGAGAACUAUGUCAGAGAGCUGUACUCCUGCUGGCCAUUUUAACCUGGUCUUCAACUGGUCAUCUCUCUGCAUUUGGCUCCAGGCAAACAAUGCAUGCAUUUUGCUUGGUUCCCUUUUGUGAACGCUGCUUCCCCCACCUAAGGUGCUGAGCCCCUCUGCCUGGUGUCCCCCAAUCCCAGCUCUGCUGUAGGACCUGGUUCAGUUCCCAUCCCUCACAUGCAUCUUCUCCAAAUUCUGUCCCCCGCACCAACAGUCAUGAAGUCGGUCUUCUCAUAUGUGGGGUGUUCUGUGUCACUCUCUGCUCGGCUGCAGCUACAAAUGCAAAUCUUCCUCGCAACCGGACAGUAAGCUUCUUUCUCGUUUCCGAAGACUUAAGGAUGCCAGCAACUUGCGCCAGGAUUGCUCGACCUCAUUUUAAAGGCAGAGGUAUGGACCCAGCACUCACCCUGUGUCUUCUAAGGAGAGCCGGGCUGCAGUCCACGCCCCUGUGCAGACGGUGGGGAUGCCUGCAGAAAGACACCUGGUUACCACAACCUGCGCUGCUUAACUGGGACAGCACACAGACUCACGUGUGCACCCUCGUUCACCAGGGUCAGCAAGGACAGGGGCUUUCUGAUGGAAGGACCCAGUGGAAAUGCUUCGUAAACACACGGAAGUUUAUGCUCAUGCCUUACAAAGCACUGAAGAUAAACGUGUGCGGGAAAGCUAAAGCUUCACAGGUCUGCAAGGCGUCACCGUGCAUUUUGAGUGUUGUUACCACAGUGUGGGAGCAUGGCAAUUACAGUAAGGGGUGCUCCUCACUGUGAACCUGGGGGGCCCACUGCUUAUGCCCCUCCCAAUUCUGGCUAUCGAAGGUCCUGCUAACUGGCGGGGAAGCCCUUCUCCUCCAUGCCACUUCUUUCUGACUUUCCCACCACAGGGUAUGCCCCAGGAACGGGACUUUAUAGCAGUUUUAAACCAGGUUCCUGGUUCCUAGAAAUAUGAGGGUGCUGCCUAUAGGAAACUCUAGUCAUGCUAGAAAAGCUCUUCCUAAUAUGACCGGAAGUGCAUCCUACAGGGGUAGGAAAGAAUUUUUCUGAGCUGAAAGUUCUGCAUUUAUAGGUGAGGGGGUGGAAAUCAAGGACCUAGAGGGUUGGUGGGGUGGCUGAUGGGCAUCGGGCAUACACAGGGGA